rnacentral:rRNA from 1 species
UGCAUAUGAUGGAUGCCUUGGCGAUCACAGGCGAUGAAGGACGCGGUAGCCUGCGAAAAGCUACGGGGAGCUGGCAAACAAGCUUUGAUCCGUAGAUGUCCGAAUGGGGCAACCC